UUUUAUAGGACCUAGAAGCGGCGUUAA
rnacentral:sRNA from 1 species